rnacentral:sRNA from 1 species
AAACCUAAUAAUGUCUGUGGGAGAGAUUUAGUCAUUUUCUGUUGCACAGAUUAUUGUAUUUGAAUAUAUAGUGCUGAUUUUUAUGUCUGAUGGCGUAGCUGAUCAUGUGACUGCUACAUAUUGCAGUGUUAAAUGAGUUAUGUUUCAUUUUGUGGGAUAUUUUAUAGUUUAUAGAUCAACAUAUUCAAUAUCUGAUCUCAGCUCGCUGUAACUGCAGUAGUGGAUAAAUGAAUUUGGUUAAAAUGUCUGGUAGUUUACAACUUUGUUGUCUUGAUGAACUAGUCACUCUGAACGGUUGGGAUCUCCCUGAUUAUUAACAUAUUACAAAUAUUAAUGAGAUGAUAUACAGAGAAGCUGUUUUUCUAGUUUCAAUUUAGAGAUUCCAUCUCAAAGCUUGUGUUAGUUAUAUUUUGUGCCAUCCUGUAACUUUGAUGCAACAUUAAUAUUUACAUGUACAUGUAUUAUAAUGCUCAGCCCAUUUUGUACAUGGGAAUAGCUUCCCCAUACCAUUCAUUGUACAUUUAUCAUUUAAUAUUUCCAUUGUGUAUUUCAUUACUUAAAAACUUCCUUGUUUUCUUUUCCUUGGUUGUGUAUUUAAGAGAGAUAAUUUUUGUUAUCACCUGUAGUUGUUUUCCUUUCCAUUUUAAACUAUUUAUUGCCACUACUAGGGGAAAAACAGAUAUGAAAGUGAUGUGUCAGCAGCCUUGAGAUGAUGCACUGGAUUGAAAUGCCAUUUGUGAACUAACUGUACAGUUCUUGUCUCUGAUCAGUUAGCAUUUUAGAUAAAGUUCAACAAGGCAACAUCUAAGUAAUUGGCUUGAUUCAGAUUGGAAAUUAUUAAACCUUUAUCAGCAUUUACCAUAUGUGUAUUGAAAGUUCCAUUAUGAAUGUUUGAAAGAUUGUUUAGAUGAGAAAAAUUGUUUUUUUUAGAUAUCCUCCUGUCAUGGAAACAAAUAAAUUGUUACAAAUAU